GAUGAACGCUGGCGGCGUGCCUAAUACAUGCAAGUCGAGCGAACAGACGAGGAGCUUGCUCCUCUGACGUUAGCGGCGGACGGGUGAGUAACACGUGGAUAACCUACCUAUAAGACUGGGAUAACUUCGGGAAACCGGAGCUAAUACCGGAUAAUAUAUUGAACCGCAUGGUUCAAUAGUGAAAGACGGUUUUGCUGUCACUUAUAGAUGAUCCGCGCCGCAUUAGCUAGUUGGUAAGGUAACGGCUUACCAAGGCAACGAUGCGUAGCCGACCUGAGAGGGUGAUUGGCCACACUGGAACUGAGACACGGUCCAGACUCCUACGGGAGGCAGCAGUAGGGAAUCUUCCGCAAAGGGCGAAAGCCUGACGGAGCAACGCCGCGUGAGUGAUGAAGGUCUUCGGAUCGUAAAACUCUGUUAUUAGGGAAGAACAAAUGUGUAAGUAACUAUGCACGUCUUGACGGUACCUAAUCAGAAAGCCACGGCUAACUACGUG
rnacentral:rRNA from 1 species